rnacentral:tRNA from 3 species
GCUGGUUUAGCUCCAAUGGUUGGAGCGCCUGCCUAAGAAGGGAGUUGGCGGUUAAGUUCCGUCAAUCAGCACCA